GACGAACGCUGGCGGCGUGCUUAACACAUGCAAGUCGAGCGGUAAGGCCCUUUCGGGGGUACACGAGCGGCGAACGGGUGAGUAACACGUGGGUGACCUGCCCUUAGCUCUGGGAUAAGCCUGGGAAACUGGGUCUAAUACCGGAUAUGACUCCAUGACGCAUGUUGUGGGGUGGAAAGCCUUGUGCGGCUAGGGAUGGGCCCGCGGCCUAUCAGCUUGUUGGUGGGGUGAUGGCCUACCAAGGCGACGACGGGUAGCCGGCCUGAGAGGGCGACCGGCCACACUGGGACUGAGACACGGCCCAGACUCCUACGGGAGGCAGCAGUGGGGAAUCUUGCGCAAUGGGCGAAAGCCUGACGCAGCGACGCCGCGCGGGGAUGACGGCCU
rnacentral:rRNA from 1 species